UACCUGCAGUCGACGCAUCCUUCGGGGUGAGUGGCAGACGGGUGAGUAACGCGUGGGAACGUGCCCUUCAGUUCGGGAUAACCCAGGGAAACUUGGGCUAAUACCGGAUACGUGCGAGAGCAGAAAGAUUUAUCGCUGAAGGAUCGGCCCGCGUCUGAUUAGCUAGUUGGUGAGGUAAUGGCUCACCAAGGCGACGAUCAGUAGCUGGUCUGAGAGGAUGAUCAGCCACAUUGGGACUGAGACACGGCCCAAACUCCUACGGGAGGCAGCAGUGGGGAAUAUUGGACAAUGGGCGCAAGCCUGAUCCAGCCAUGCCGCGUGAGUGAUGAAGGCCUUAGGGUUGUAAAGCUCUUUCGGCGGGGACGAUAAUGACGGUACCCGCAGAAGAAGCCCCGGCUAACUUCGUGCCAGCAGCCGCGGUAAUACGAAGGGGGCUAGCGUUGUUCGGAAUCACUGGGCGUAAAGGGCGCGUAGGCGGCUUUGUAAGUCGGGGGUGAAAGCCUGUGGCUCAACCACAGAAUUGCCUUCGAUACUGCAUGGCUUGAGACCGGAAGAGGUAAGUGGAACUGCGAGUGUAGAGGUGAAAUUCGUAGAUAUUCGCAAGAACACCAGUGGCGAAGGCGGCUUACUGGUCCGGUUCUGACGCUGAGGCGCGAAAGCGUGGGGAGCAAACAGGAUUAGAUACCCUGGUAGUCCACGCCGUAAACGAUGAAUGCCAGCCGUUGGGCAGCUUUGCUGCUCAGCGGCGCAGCUAACGCUUUAAGCAUUCCGCCUGGGGAGUACGGUCGCAAGAUUAAAACUCAAAGGAAUUGACGGGGGCCCCCACAAGCGGUGGAACAUGUGGUUUUAAUU
rnacentral:rRNA from 1 species